UUUUUAAAUUAAAUCUAAUUAUAUUUGAAUUGGGUAUUUUGUAUUUCAAUUGCUUAUUAUGAUUGUUUGAUGUUUGCAAGUUCUGUUUUUUAGUUCUUUUUUUCGAAUUCAUGAUUUUUUAUUGAGGUUUUUUUAUUUAUUUUAAGUAACUGUUUUUUAAUUAUUUUAGUUCAUUUGUUUCGAAUGCAUGUUGAAUUUUGGUUUCUUUCGAUUUGUGUGUUUAAAAUCUGUUUAUUCCGUGAAUUUGCUCGGAGUAGAUUGAUAAAUCUGUUUAAAGUAGAUUGAUAAAUCUGUUUAAAAUCUGUUUCUUUCGAAUUUAGUUCAUAUUGUAGAAUUUGUUGCCUUGCUGGUGUAUUGUAUAUUUGUAUGUAUUCUGUUUAUUUUGUGAAUUCAAUUUGAAUUGUAAUUGAAUUCUAUCGUUUUAUAUGUUUAGGAUCAACAAGAACCACGGAUUCUUACUCUUGCAAUGUAAGUUGUUCUCACAUUUUUUUAUAAAAUGUUAUGUGUUUAUAAUUGUUACUUAAAAAUUACUUAUAUUGUGUAUAAUUAUAUUGAAGAUUGUGUAUAAUUAUAUUGAAGAUGGAGAGCUCUCAAUCCAAAAGAUCUGCUGCUUUUUCUCAAGAAAUGUCACAGCCACUUUCUGAAAAGGAUAUGGAAGAAUUGCAAUCUACUUUGCCUCCAGAUAAGAAGUUAAAAGCGGGGCGGGAAUACAUAUGGAACAGAAAAAGUAAGAGGAUAUGGAAGAAAAUUUGAAAGAGUUACAAGAAAUGGAGAAAGAGGUGCAACAUGAUGUAUCUAACGAUGGAGACGAUGAAGUUGUUUUCGUUGACUCAUUAGUGUGAAUCACGCAAUCAAAGGGAAAGCAACUCGCCAAAAUUCAAGUUGUCUUUGGAUAAUUUAUGUAUUUCUAGUAUUUGAGACUUAGAGACUUUAUGUAAUUUAAUGAAUUAUUUGUUAUAUUUGAGACUUAUAGAUUUUAUGUAGUUUUUGUCAUUGAUA